CAUUCGUUAGUUUAAAUCAAACCUGUUAUGAUUUAAGGUUGCGAAUCACCGCUAACCACAUUGUUUGCUGAGCUAGACUCCGAGCAGUGUGGUUUUUAU
rfam:Streptococcus urinalis 2285-97 final_molecule, whole genome shotgun sequence.